rfam:Aedes aegypti strain Liverpool supercont1.238 genomic scaffold, whole genome shotgun sequence.
UGCCCAGCAACUCCUAUCCCUACCUCCUCGUGGUACUGGCCGGGGUACGAACAACCUUAGAGAAUUGCGGGUAACCAACCCCGGUGGAAACUUUGGUCGUAUGCUGACAAGGAAGG